ACACUUUUUAGCAGCACGUUCUCCACAUUCGGCACAUGUUGGUGCAGUACCAGCGAGUUUCUCAAGUGUUUCUGGAUCGUAGGCAGAACUAAGCCUACAGAAAAAUUUCAUUAGGCUACAUUUGGUGUUGCUGUUACAUUCGGUGACAGAAGUUGCCACUACAUUUGGUGUCAGAAUAGCAGACGUUGUCUGUCCAGUACAACGUUCGAGCUCACCGCCCGCAUUACAUUCACAAGAUGUGGAUCAUUAUCCACAACGAAAACACUAUGUGGUGCCUCAACCAUCUAUUGCCGGAGCCAGCUCUUGCAUCAGCAGAGCAGAGCUCUGAUAUGGCACUAACUUUGGCUGGCAGCUCCCUCUGUACAGUAGUUUGUGUACGUGCUCUCCAGUGUGUCACAUCAGCAAUAAAGUAUAUAUUAUCUGCA